UGGUGGAGUGAUUUGUCUGGUUAAUUCCGAUAACGAACGAGACCUUAACCUGCUAAAUAGCCCCAUCGACUAUGGUUGGUGGCUGGCUUCUUAGAGGGACUAUUGGCUUCCAGCCAAUGGAAGUUUGAGGCAAUAACA
rnacentral:rRNA from 1 species